CCUCGGUUCAAGCAACUCUCCUGCCUCAGCCUCCCAAGUAGUUGGGAUUACAGGUGCCCACCGUUCUUCCUGGCUAAUUUUUGUAUUUUUAGUAGAGAUGGGAUUUCAUCAUGUUGGACAGGCUGGUCUCAAACUCCUGACCUUAGAUGAUCCACCUGCCUUGGCCUCCCAAAGCGCUAAGAGUAGAGGCAUGAUUCACUGUGCCCAGCCAUCUCUUAAGGACUAAUUGCCUCUUAAAGGCUCCACCUCUUAAUGCUGAUAGAAUGGCAAUUAAACUUCAACAUGAGCUUUAGAGGAGUAGGUGUUGUUUGAGCCAAUAUUAAAUAUUGAGAAGCCCACCAUCCUCAGAAGAAAGGACAUUCCAGUCAGAAGAAAGAGCUAAUGCAGAGGCCUUGGCACAGAAGAAACUUGAGUUAAUUGUAGACACAAAGAAGUCUGCAUGACUGAAGAUCAGCAAGUGAUGGGUAUAAAAGGCUGUCCACAGUCAGAUCCCAUAGUCACUUUUGGACCAUGAUGUCAGGAAUUAGUGUUUGAUUCUCAAUGAUAUGGGAGAGUUUUGAAAGAUUACUCUGACUUUUCUAUGGAGGACUAAUUGUAGAAGGACAAGAGUAGAAUCAGGGAUGAUGAUUAGGAGCUAUUGCAAGACUCCAUGUGAUGUAUGAUGGUAUUUUUUUUACUAAGAUUGCUCAGAGAAAAAGAGAAGAGAAAUUUGGGAUUUGUUUUGGAAGUACGGUUAUAGAGCUUGCUGCUACGUUAGAUAUAGACCAGAAAAGAAAGAGAGGGCUCGAGAUUUUGGACAAAAGGCUACGAUUCCUUUGGAAUAAAUUAGUGGGGUUGAAGAGCCAUAGCUGGUAGGUGGGGAGCUGGAUGGAAGCCAAUGAGGAGCAAUCCCAAAUUAUGGGUAACAGUGAGUUUGGAGUAUUCUCAUUUUCUCUGGUGGGGGAUUUCCUAGCUAAAUGUCAAGAGUUUUGGUUGAAAUUAAUUUGAGAGUUCAUUUAGCUCAGGGUCCCAUCCUCAGGCAACA
rnacentral:lncRNA from 13 species